UUUCCGUAGGUGAACCUGCGGAAGGAUCAUUACAGAGUUCAUGCCCGAAAGGGUAGACCUCCCACCCUUGUGUAUUAUUACUUUGUUGCUUUGGCGAGCUGCCUUCGGGCCUUGAGCUUUCGAGUUCGAGCGUGCUCGCCAGAGGAUAUCAAAACUCUUUUUAUUCAUGUCGUCUGAGUACUAUAUAAUAGUUAAAACUUUCAACAACGGAUCUCUUGGUUCUG
rnacentral:misc_RNA from 1 species